rnacentral:rRNA from 1 species
GAUGAACGCUAGCGGCAGGCCUAACACAUGCAAGUCGAGGGGUAGAGCACUUCAGUGCUUGAGACCGGCGCACGGGUGCGUAACGCGUAUGCAAUCUACCUUAUACUAAGGGAUAGCCCAGAGAAAUUUGGAUUAAUACCUUAUGGUUAAUUUAGUUGGCAUCAAUUGAAUUAUAAAGAUUUAUUGGUAUAAGAUGAGCAUGCGUCCCAUUAGUUAGUUGGUAAGGUAACGGCUUACCAAGACGAUGAUGGGUAGGGGUCCUGAGAGGGAGAUCCCCCACACUGGUACUGAGACACGGACCAGACUCCUACGGGAGGCAGCAGUGAGGAAUAUUGGACAAUGGGCGCAAGCCUGAUCCAGCCAUGCCGCGUGCAGGAUGAAGCAUCUAUGGUGUGUAAACUGCUUUUGUACGGGAAGAAAAACAUUAACGAGUAAUGUACUGACGGUACCGUAAGAAUAAGGAUACGGCUAACUCCGUAGCCAGCAGCCGGGUAAA